GACGAACGCUGGCGGCGUGCUUAACACAUGCAAGUCGAACGGAAAGGCCCAGCUUGCUGGGUACUCGAGUGGCGAACGGGUGAGUAACACGUGGGUGAUCUGCCCUGCACUCUGGGAUAAGCCUGGGAAACUGGGUCUAAUACCGGAUAUGACCAACUGUCUCAUGGUGGUUGGUGGAAAGCUUUUGCGGUGUGGGAUGGGCCCGCGGCCUAUCAGCUUGUUGGUGGGGUAAUGGCCUACCAAGGCGACGACGGGUAGCCGACCUGAGAGGGUGAUCGGCCACACUGGGACUGAGACACGGCCCAGACUCCUACGGGAGGCAGCAGUGGGGAAUAUUGCACAAUGGGCGCAAGCCUGAUGCAGCGACGCCGCGUGAGGGAUGACGGCCUCGGUUGUAAACCGUCUUUCUACCCAGGGACGAAGACGUGAGUGACGGUACCUGGAGAAGAAG
rnacentral:rRNA from 1 species